rnacentral:rRNA from 1 species
UACGGGGGGAGCAAGCGUUGUUCGGAUUUACUGGGUGUAAAGGGCGCGUAGGCGGUCAGCACAAGUCAGUUGUGAAAUCUCCGGGCUUAACUCGGAAAGGUCAACUGAUACUGUGCGACUAGAGUGCAGAAGGGGCAACUGGAAUUCUCGGUGUAGCGGUGAAAUGCGUAGAUAUCUGGAGGAACACCGGUGGCGAAGGCGGCAUUCUGGACCGAUAUUGACGCUGAGGAGCGAAAGCCAGGGGAGCAAACGGG